rnacentral:rRNA from 1 species
UAAUACGUAGGGUGCAAGCGUUAAUCGGAAUUACUGGGCGUAAAGCGUGCGCAGGCGGUGGCUUGUGUCAGGUGUGAAAGCCCCGGGCUUAACCUGGGAAUUGCGCUUGAAACUAGGUCGCUAGAGUGCGUCAGAGGGGGGUGGAAUUCCACGUGUAGCAGUGAAAUGCGUAGAGAUGUGGAGGAACACCGAUGGCGAAGGCAGCCCCCUGGGAUGACACUGACGCUCAGGCACGAAAGCGUGGGGAGCAAACAGGAUUAGAUACCCUGGUAGUCCACGCCCUAAACGAUGUCAACUAGUUGUUGGAGGAGUGAAAUCCUUCAGUAACGGAGCUAACGCGUGAAGUUGACCGCCUGGGGAGUACGGCCGCAAGGUUA